rnacentral:rRNA from 1 species
GAUGAACGCUAGCUACAGGCUUAACACAUGCAAGUUGAGGGGCAGCAUGGUCUUAGCUUGCUAAGGCCGAUGGCGACCGGCGCACGGGUGAGUAACACGUAUCCAACCUGCCGUCUACUCUUGGACAGCCUUCUGAAAGGAAGAUUAAUACAAGAUGGCAUCAUGAGUCCGCAUGUUCACAUGAUUAAAGGUAUUCCGGUAGACGAUGGGGAUGCGUUCCAUUAGAUAGUAGGCGGGGUAACGGCCCACCUAGUCUUCGAUGGAUAGGGGUUCUGAGAGGAAGGUCCCCCACAUUGGAACUGAGACACGGUCCAAACUCCUACGGGAGGCAGCAGUGAGGAAUAUUGGUCAAUGGGCGAGAGCCUGAACCAGCCAAGUAGCGUGAAGGAUGACUGCCUAUGGUGUAAACUUCUUUAUAAAGGAAUAAAGUCGGUAUGUAUACCGUUUGCAUGUACUUUAUGAAUAAGGAUCGGCUAACU